rnacentral:lncRNA from 1 species
AUCAGAGUAGCUUAGUUAAAGUAGCCCAGGGGAAUAAUCCGGUGGCAAUGUCGGGUGCUUCUUAUUCUAUAUUGAAUGGCGAGUUCUUCUUUCGGGUGUCCUUGACCGGAUAAUUUCUAUGAACAAAAGAAUCAAAAGGGCUUAGCGACCUUGACCUUAGACGAGCGCAACGAAGGAUCUGAUCCAGACAUAUUGAUCUCCAUUUUGUGCACUAUGGGACGGAUCUCAAGGCCUAGUCGGUAAUCUCUUUCAGAGACCUUGGUAUUAUAGCGGAAUUGCCCUCUGGGUCCGUUAGCGUUAGGAGUGGCAGGAUAACAUUCAGUGAUGAAGCGUACGAGAGAAAUCCUUAUUUAGAAAAAAGGUGACUUUGUAUACGUGGAAAAAACCUCUAGAUGAGAAGGACAUGAAUGAGACUGAAUCCAUAUAUUCUACGAAAUAGUAUAGACAGCGACUGGUUUAUGUAAUUACAAUCACUAAGAAGGAAUGCCACUUUAUAGGGGGCGAGCCUGAAUCCUUAUUUUUGUUGUUUACGAGCGAGAGUCAAAUCUUGAAAUACGGAUUGACAUGGAAAAUGAAAUAGGAAUGAAAAACAGAUAAUAUAAGGAAGAAAAUAUCCCCUUUAAAAAGAAAGAAGCCCCGGGGCGCCCGAUCCUGCUUUUACUAUUUCGGGUUCAAGUCGCAGGGUAGAAGAGAGGCGAUUCAACUGCAUGGGGAUAAUCGUGGGUAAAUAUUCUCAGCGAUUCUGACUCGAAAAACACGCGCAGGGCACUAGAAACGCUCUUUGUCGUCUUUCAUAGCUGGAAAAAGAGAAAUCCUCUUUUUGACUAAUGAACAAUGGCCUAGAGUUAUACUCCACUUUUACUCCACUUUAGCAGAAUAUAAGUAAUGCCCGAUGCUGUGAAAAAGAACACCUUCCUUUGAAGUUUGAUAGGAGUAACAGAGAAAGAUGACGGAAAACUAGAGCUAUCCUGGGCUUUAAGACCCUAACCCGUCGAGCCUCUUUCAUACCAGUGUUUUGGUUUCCACCCAUACCAUAUAGGAGACAUUCAUCCAUAAAUGAAGAGAAGGGUGCAUCAUCUAUUCUAUAUAUACAUAUACACAAUAAACCACAUGUCGACACUUGAAUUGGAAGGUCGUUAGACGCAUUCAUUCUCAAGGAUCCAUACGCGACAUCAUGAAAAGGGUAUUGGAAUACGGGAUGGAUAGGCUGUUUUUUCUUAUGCUCGGCCAGGUUACUGAGACGAAUAAAAGGUUAGACCAUUAACGGAGUAGUCGUUUGGGGCUCUAGCUCUUUCUGGCAUGGACGUAGGGAACAGUAGAAAAUGGAAGGCAGUGACGGAACAGUAGAAAAUGGAAGGCAGUGACAGAACAGUAUAUGAAACCCAAUGGAACUUCAUAUAGGAGAAAGUUUCGAAAGAGAUAAGUCCUGUGUUAACCUGUAUUUGAUUCUUUCUUUCUUAUGAGACCC